rnacentral:tRNA from 1 species
GGCAGGGUAGCUCAGCCGGUUAGAGCACAGCACUCAUAACGCUGAGGUCAUGGGUUCGAUUCCCAUCCCUGCUA